GUGAAUCAUCGAAUCUUUGAACGCACAUUGCGCCUCCCUUAACCGGGGGGCAUGCCUGUCUGAGCGUCAUUUAAACCUAUGGACCCGAAUGGGUUCCGUGUUGGGCCUCGCCCCUCUUUGAGAGGCGUCGCCUUAAAGGCAUCGGCUUUAUGGAGCGGACGGGAUCCUUUUGGACUGACCGUUUCAUGGCUGGAAUUUUGACUCUGACUUGACCUCAGAUCAGGUAGGGAUACCGCCUGAACUUAAGCAUAUCAAUAAGCGGAGGA
rnacentral:misc_RNA from 1 species